CGAUCCUCGUUGCUGUUGCUUUUGACGUUUGCGAGCGACAAACGUCUCGUGACCUCGCCAUUUACUUAAGCAUGUACGAUUAAGCGAGGAAUUCAGCCACAUGAAACUCCAUUCUUCUUAGGAAAAGAAAUAUAUCGGAACUUGAGAAGCAUAUAUUACAUUGAUCAAACGUAACUAUUAGAAAUUUAAUUAAGACACACGAAAGGAUGAGUUUCAAAAUAAGAUUGUUAAUCGUACUUGUUACCUUCAGCAUGUUUAGCAUUGUAUACCCACGUGCUAGAAUAGCGAAAUACAUUAAAAAUGAUAUAAUGAACAAGGAAGACGUUCCUAGAAGGCCUGCUUUUUGUAAUAAGCCUUACGACUUUGGGUAUUGCAUCAUGCCUUGCGCAAUGGUGUUGAGAUAUUGGUUUAAUAAGGAUGUGGGAACAUGUGAACCUUUUAGAUUCGGUGGUUUUAAAGGAAAUAAAAAUAGAUUCAAAUCUUUUGAUGACUGCUUGGAAACAUGCAGUUAAUGGCUGGUUUAUGCUUCGAUCUUAAUCUUAAUCUUAGUUUUAGUCUUAACUUAAUCUUAAGGACUCGUUUAUGCUUCCC